CCUACGGGAGGCAGCAGUGGGGAAUAUUGCACAAUGGGGGAAACCCUGAUGCAGCGACGCCGCGUGAGUGAAGAAGUACUUCGUUAUGUAAAGCUCUAUCAGCAGGGAAGAAAAUGACGGUACCUGAGUAAGAAGCCCCGGCGAACUACGUGCCAGCAGCCGCGGUAAUACGUAGGGGGCAAGCGUUAUCCGGAUUUACUGGGUGGAAAGGGAGCGUAGACGGCAGUGCAAGUCUGGAGUGAAAGGCGGGGGCUCAACCCCCGGACUGCUCUGGAAACUGUACGGCUGGAGUGCAGGAGAGGUAAGUGGAAUUCCUAGUGUAGCGGUGAAAUGCGUAGAUAUUAGGAGGAACACCAGUGGCGAAGGCGGCUUACUGGACUGUAACUGACGUUGAGGCUCGAAAGCGUGGGGAGCAAACAGGAUUAGAUACCCCAGUAGUC
rnacentral:rRNA from 1 species